GAUGAACGCUGGCGGCGUGCCUAAUACAUGCAAGUCGAGCGAACAGACGAGGAGCUUGCUCCUCUGACGUUAGCGGCGGACGGGUGAGUAACACGUGGAUAACCUACCUAUAAGACUGGGAUAACUUCGGGAAACCGGAGCUAAUACCGGAUAAUAUAUUGAACCGCAUGGUUCAAUAGUGAAAGACGGUUUUGCUGUCACUUAUAGAUGGAUCCGCGCCGCAUUAGCUAGUUGGUAAGGUAACGGCUUACCAAGGCGACGAUGCGUAGCCGACCUGAGAGGGGGAUCGGCCACACUGGAACUGAGACACGGUCCAGACUCCUACGGGAGGCAGCAGUAGGGAAUCUUCCGCAAAGGGCGAAAGCCUGACGGAGCAACGCCGCGUGAGUGAUGAAGGUCUUCGGAUCGUAAAACUCUGUUAUUAGGGAAGAACAAAUGUGUAAGUAACUAUGCACGGCUUGACGGUACCUAAUCAGAAAGCCACGGCUAACUACGUG
rnacentral:rRNA from 1 species